GGGCGUGUAGCUCAGGGGUACGAGCGCCCGCUUUGCAUGCGGGAGGUCCGGCGUUCAAAUCGCCGUUCGUCCA
rfam:Penicillium decumbens strain IBT 11843 PENDEC_contig001, whole genome shotgun sequence.